AUGAUCUUAAUGAGCUCAUUUAGAGCUGAAAAAGAAUCUCCCUUGUUGUGGAUUUCAGACCUCGAGUGUACAGCUCCCCAUCUGGACUCUCGUGAAAGUCAUGGUAAACAACACACAGAGCAUCCCUUUGUCAUGGGUUCAGCUCCCUCCCUCACCGCGCCCCGCCAGCCUCUAGCAGCACAUCUGCAGUGGACAAUGAGUCUCAUUUCACAUUUUGGCUCUGAAGUAGACAUCAUCAUGGGGAAGGAAUACACGCCCCUAGGAUAAUAAACAAGGGACUGUUCAAGAACAAAUAUCAAAAUAAAGACAAAAGGAAAGAGAAGCUGUUUGUCUCUCUGUUCUUCCAGUUUUCCGGCAUUUCUUCACGGGCUUCAUGAAAAGCCCCAGUUCCAUCUACUGUAAUGUUUUCCAACUUCAAAGGCUUCUCUGGUAUAAAAUUUGCUUUCUACAGCAUGUCUGUCCUGUUGAGCUAUAUCCAAUGACCCCAGACAAAGGACAGCAGCGUACAGGGAGGACGUUGCUGCUGGGGUCACCGGCAGGGUGAGCCCAGAGUGGCCGGGCGAGGCUAGAGUGGAGUCCAAGCAGAGCCGUGGCGCCUGCUCCUGCUGUUGGAGGAGUCAGUGUUGUGGGGUGACACUUGAAAGUCAGGUGUUACAGGAUGGUUGUGGGGAGUCCAGCAACACAGAGAAGGGAGAAGAGUCAAAGCAUGCUCCCAGGGGGUCCUCCCAAAGCACUGCCUCCCAUGUGGGCAGCUCCCUUCUCCUCCCCACCCACAGGGCUUCUGGAAGGUCUCCUGUAGAGCCUACCUUUCCCUGAGUUGGUCCUUAUUCACCUGAGUCUUAGGAACUCAGAGCUCAAGGUGUGCGUCUUGAGCAUGUCACUGAACCAGGUAACUCAUUCUGCCUCCAUGUUCGUGGGGUGUACACAGAAAGGUCCACAAAAGCCGUGUGUUUUCUCAGACAGAGGCCCCACAAACAGGGUUCUGUGUGCUGUGUUUUCUUUCUUUCUUUCUUUUUUUAGAGACAAGGUCUCACUCAAGUUAUCCUGCCUCAGCCUCCCAAAGCGCCGACAUUACAGGUGUGAGUCACCGUGGCUGGCCCUGUGUACUGUAUUUUCUUUUCCACAUACACAAUAAUACUACUUAUUUUUUUAUUAGUAGAGUAACCAACUCCUCCUGGUUUGCCAAGGACUUUCCUGAUUUUGAAGCUGAAAGUCCCAUAUCUUGGGAAAUCUCUCUGUUUCAGCAAAUUGAGGUGGUUGGUCACAUCCUAUCAAUGAAAUCUGUAAAUUACAAAUUUAUCAUCAAGAAAAUUUGUAAUGUGUCCAUAAGCCCUCCUUAGGUAGGGUCUGUGUUUUGCGGACUUUUGUGUCCCCUGGUUGGAGAAGCCAGCCUUGGGCAUAAUAAAUAGUCAUCAUUCACUUGAGAAGUUAUUCCUCUCUGCCAGUAGAGAUGGAGUGUGCUAACUGUCCUUGCUCUCUCAGUGGUCUUCCAUUUAGUACUUAGCUGAGCCAGAGGUAUAGUGAGAGGCUGCAGCACAGAGAUUUUUCCUUCGUAAAAGAAUCUGAGGGCUGGGUGUGGUGGCUCACACCUAUAAUCCCAGCUCACACCUACAAUCCCAGCACUUUGGGAGACUGAGGUGGUUGGAUCACCUGAGGUCAGGAGUUCGAGACCAGCCUCGCCAACAUGGUGAAACCCCAUCUCUACUGAAAAUACAAAAAACAUCCAGGUGUGAUGGCGCAUACCUGUAACCCUGCUACUUGGGAGGCUGAGGCACGAGAAUUGCUUGAACCCAGGGGACAGAGGUUGCAGUGAGCAGAGAGUGCACCACUGCAUUCCAGCCUGGGCAACAGAGCGAGAUUCCAUCUCAAAAAAAGAAAGUAGGGCCAGGCGCGGUGGCUCACGCCUGUAAUCCCAGCACUUUGGGAGGCCGAGGCGGGUGGAUCACGAGGUCAAGAGAUCGAGACCAUCCUGGUCAACAUGGUGAAACCCCAUCUCUACUAAAAAUACAAAAAAUUAGCUGGGCAUGGUGGCGUGUGCCUGUAAUCCCAGCUACUCAGGAGGCUGAGGCAGGAGAAUUGCCUGAACCUAGGAGGCGGAGGUUGUGAUGAGCCGAGAUCACGCCAUUGCACUCCAGCCUGGGUAACAAGAGUAAAACUCCGUCUCAAAAAAAAAAAAAAAGAAAGUAGCCUAACACUCGGAUUAAUAUUUGAAAGAUUCAGGAAAUAAAUCAAUAAAUUCUGAAGGGGGAAAGAGUGACUCCAUUUCAGUUAUUUGAAAAGGUGGUAGAGGCCAGGCAUGGUGGCUCACACCUGUAAUCCCAGCACUCUGGGAGGCCGAGGCAGGCAGAUCAUGAGGUCAAGAGAUCAAUACCAUCCUGGCCAACAUGGUGAAACUCCAUCUCUACUAAAUAUAGAAAAAUUAUCUGGGUGUGGUGGUGCAUGCCUGUAGUCCCAGCUACUUGGGAGGCUGAGACAGGAGAAUCGUUUGAACCUGGGAAGCAGAGGUUGCAAUGAGUCAAGAUCGCCCCACUGCACUCCAGCCUGGAGACAGAGUGAGACUCUGUCUCAAAAAAAAAAAAGAGGUAGAAAUAUUUAAUAAAGAACACUUUUGUUGGGCAGAAAGAUGGAAGGAUUAAACAGAAAGACCCAUUAGUCUCUGGAUUUUAUAAGCUUCUCCAACAUUAUGAAGAUGUAUGUGUCUCAGGGAAAUAAUGUGAUAUAGUUUGAAGGUUAAUCAGUGAAUUUUCCUCAUCUACAGAAUGCGAGGCUAAAGGAGAGAGACAAGAUUCAGUCUGCACUUCCCAACCUGUCUCUUUAGGCGACAUCUGUGUGGUAGCAUUUAUUAUUCAUGAGCGUUCUUUAAAACAAAAAAAUUUGAGGAUCAAAUAGGAUCUUUCAGGAAUAGGGACUACUGGGCAUGACUUGUUUAUGGCUGUCAGUGAAGGAUGGUAAAAUAGAUGCGUGAUUGAUAUUAAAGGCACUACAACUUUCCUUUGUUUUAAACAUCGCAUUUGGCUAAAGAAAAUCAGUUCCUUUCCCAAGCUUUAAAAAAAGGAUAUAAAGAUGUUGCC
rnacentral:lncRNA from 1 species